rnacentral:rRNA from 1 species
AUUCCAGCUCCAAUAGCACUAUAUUGAAAAUUGUUGCAGUUAAAACGUUCGUAGUUGAAUAUUAAAGAAUCCGAUGUUUCAUUUAAACUGGUUUGGGAAAACCAAAUAUAUUAUAUAUUUUGCUUUGUUCAAAAUAAGGUUUUCUAAUAAAUUAUGUUUUUAUCAGAUAUGACAGAAUCUUUUUUAAAAUCUCUUCAAUAUGCUUUUAUUGCUUUUGAGAGGUUUUGUUACUUUGAGUAAAAUUAAGUGUUCAUAACAGACGGGUAGUCAUGAUUGAGUUCAUUGUGUUUGAAUACUACAGCAUGGAAUAACAAAUAUGAAUAAGCUAAUUAUUUUUUUUUUUCAUAAUUUUUUUUGAUAUUCUUAUUAGCUUAGUUACGAUUAAUAGGAGUAUCUUUGGGGGCAUUCGUAUUCAGAUGUCAGAGGUGAAAUUCUAAGAUUUUCUGGAGACGGACUACUGCGAAAGCAUUUGCCUAAUCUAUUUCCAUUAAUCAAGAACGAAAGUUAAGGGAGUGAAGACGAUCAGAUACCGUCGUAAUCUUAACCAUAAACUAUACCGACUAGGUGUUGGAUGAAUAUAAAAAAUAUAUAAAUAUGUAGCAUUUCUUAGGGAAUGUUGAUUUUAUAUUAGAAUUGCUUCCUUCAGUACCUUAUGAGAAAUCAAAGUCUUUGGGUUCUGGGGCGAGUAUUCGCGCAAGCGAGAAAGUUAAAAGAAUUGACGGAAGGGCACCACCAGGCGUGGAGCUUGCGGCUUAAUUUGACUCAACACGGGAAAACUCACUAGUUUAAGACAAGAGUAGGAUUGACAGAUUAAUAGCUCUUUCUUGAUUUCUUGGAUGGUGAUGCAUGGCCGUUUUUAGUUCGUGAAUAUGAUUUGUCUGGUUAAUUCCGAUAACGAACGAGAUCUUAACCUGCUAAUUAGCGGUAAGUACACUAUAUUUUUAUUUGAAAUUGAAUAUAGGUAAUUAUACAUGUUUAUUCAGUGUUCAAAUUAGGAUAUUUUUUUAUUAAAAUAUUCUUUUCCCUGUUCUACUAUAAUAAUUUGUUUUUUUUUACUCUAUUUCUCUCUUCUUUUAAGAAUGUACUUGUUUGAUUAAAUAAAGCUUCUUAGAGGAACAGUGUGUAUCUAACACAAGGAAGUUUAAGGCAACAACAGGUCUGUGAUGUCCUUAGAUAAACUAGGCUGCACGCGUGCUACAAUGAUAUAUAUAACAAGUUGUUAAAAAUGUACUUAUAAAUAAGUGUGUACAGUUUUUCCUGUACUGAAAAGUAUAGGUAAUCUUUAUCAGUAUAUAUCGUAAUUGGGAUAGAUUAUUGCAAUUAUUAAUCUUGAACGAGGAAUGCCUAGUAAGCAUGAUUCAUUAGAUUGUGCUGACUACGUCCCUGCCCUUUGUACACACCGCCCGUCGCUCCUACCGAUUGAAAGAUAUGAUGAAUUGUUUGGAUAUGAAUUAAAAUAAUGAAAUUUUAUAUUUCUGAUUUUUUCUAGAAGAACUGUAAAUCCUAUCUUUUAAAGGAAGGAGAAGUCGUAACAAGGUUUCCGUAGGUGAACCUGCGGAAG